CUGUCUCCAAAAACCUAAAAAAAAAUGCUUCUUUCUUAUCCUGAAAAGCGUUCUUGGGUGUGGACUGGGUCAAAAUGGGACAAAGAAACUAACUUCCUCUUGAGGGAAACAUCAUCUGUCUCUGCACAUAUGCUAGAGUCUGGCUUUCUCCUCUAACCAAACACUGACAGUUUUUUUUCCUCAGGAAAUUAGCUUGAAAGGUGGAGCAGGAAUAUUGAGCCAAUUCAAUAUAACAGAUGAAUGGAUAAAGAAAAUAUAGCAUUUACACACAAUGGAGUACUACUCUGCCAUAAAAAGGGAUAAAUUUGAGCCAUUUGUAGGAAAAUGGAUACACUUUGAGACCAUAACCCAAGCUUAAAUAUCCUGUGGCUUCUCUUACAUGAUAAACCCACUGUCUAAAUAAAGCAAAAUAAAACAGAGACAAUAGGAAUACGGAAGAUAGAACUUUUGCAAAAAGGAAGGGAAGCAAUAAAUGGAGGGAGGGGGCAGGAGAGGAGGGACAGGAAGGGAUGAAAGAGAAUGAAGAUGUGUCAUGUACAUGGUCCAGCUCCACACAAUGAACGUAAUCGCUGUGUACUACACACACGUAAUAAUUUAAAGAAAUAUUUUAAAAUGAGUGUCUCUCAUUUACUACCCAGGAACUACUCCAAGGAGAUGCUGGGAAGUAGCCUGGGAAUGGCCAUCCCUCUCCCAUCAUUUCUCUUCCCUCAAUCCUGCUUCAGCUUCUGUCAGCCUGUGAAGGUCCUGCAGAGUGAGGUUAAGCCUUUUGUAAAAGAAAUCGCACAUCCUAAGUUCGAAGCCUGGACCUGGCCAACAUCUCAGCAAGAUGAAAGCCUUGGCCCUUACAAAUGGCUUUUGUCUCAGCCUCGAAACCCUCAUGUGACACCCUGAGAUCGCACCUGACUGACCAUCUCAAAAAAGAACCAGAACAAUCUCCUUGUGCUUUCCCUGAGCUGGUGAAGCUGGUAAAAAUCACUGAAAAUGAGGAAAGUAAAUUAACACAAGGAAGAAGCAGGACAAGGGGGAUUCUGUCCUCCUGACUACUGAGUUAACUGCAAUGAAAACAAAGUACAAAGGACUGCUAGUUCUGUGCAUAUAUUUACAUAGAAAUGUGCAAUUUUUUUUAAAAGGGGCCUUCCUGGUGUUUCUUUACUUAUGGGUUUAAUUUUUUAUCUCCUCAAUGUCCACCAGGAGGGCUCUGUUAAUAUUUACGUCGUGGGCCUUCCUGAGGAUGAGUUCAUUUCAGUCAUUGCUAAUCAACAGCCUUACUAUGAUGUCUUCUUUAUCCUGUAACAUUCCUAUUAUCCCUAACUCUUCAAAAAUACUCUUAGGAUAUUUUAGCAAGUGCCCUCUUCACCUUUUAAAGAGUUGUCUCCAGAUUGUUCAUAUUUGAAUAGCAUUUUAAAAACAAAUAUCAAUUGCCACAAUAAAUAAAUAAUGUAAACAAAUUCAACCUUCCCUGGCCUCUGCAAUGACUUCCAAUUUCACAGUUCAAAGCAUGGAAAUAAUUAUUCAAAAAACAGGGAAGCAGGGGCUGGGGAUUUAGCUCAGUGGUUCUGGUACCUGCCUCAAAAGUGUGAGGUCCCGAGUUUGAUCCCCGGUACCAAAAAACAAAAACAAAAACAGGGAAGCCAGAGGAAAGAAGGGAAUGGAAUUAAUAUGAGAAAAUGAAAAAAUGGAAACAAAGUCUUUGUAAAUAAGGAGGGAUGGAGGGGUUGGAGGGAGGGCAGGGGAAGGGGGAAAAAAUAAGAACCAAGAGAGACUAUGUAAAGGUGCAAAUUUCCAAUGAUGAAUGUCAUUAUAUUGUAUACCUAAAAUGCACCAAUAAAAUUAAUUUAAAAAAAACAGGGAAGCCAGGAGUAGUGGCACAUAUCUAUAAUCUGAGUUACUCAGAAGGCAGAGGCAGGAGGACUGUAAGUUCGAGAUGAGCCUGAGCACCUUAGCAAGAUUUGUCUCAAAAUAAAAAAUAAAGAGGGCUGGAUCCCCAGCACUACUAACAAAACAAAACCCCAGCUGAGAUUUCCACAGGGACUGCCUGUGAAAGCACAGACCCCUCCUUGAGUCCAUUGGUCUCACAUCCUUUCUUGGUCAUUGUAUUAAGCUCACACUUCUCCUGGCCCUGCAGCUACACUGCUUUCUCUCCCCAUACUACAGCUCCCAGAUCCCUGUGAUGGGUUGAGAAGGAUGUUUGGGAAACCUUGUGGCUUUGGUAGCCCCAGAGGUCUUCUUCAGGUACCUUUGUGGGUUCCUGACCAAUGAAGCAAGGCGUCACUAUUAGCCAGAGUCACAAGGCUGUACAAUCAGAAAACACAGAAGAAUGAGUGCCUUUCACGUCAUUAGGU
rnacentral:lncRNA from 1 species